rnacentral:rRNA from 1 species
GUAGGUGGCAAGCGUUGUCCGGAUUUAUUGGGCGUAAAGCGAGCGCAGGCGGUUUCUUAAGUCUGAUGUGAAAGCCCCCGGCUCAACCGGGGAGGGUCAUUGGAAACUGGGAAACUUGAGUGCAGAAGAGGAGAGUGGAAUUCCAUGUGUAGCGGUGAAAUGCGUAGAUAUAUGGAGGAACACCAGUGGCGAAGGCGGCUCUCUGGUCUGUAACUGACGCUGAGGCUCGAAAGCGUGGGGAGCAAACAGGAUUAGAUACCCUGGUAGUCCACGCCGUAAACGAUGAGUGCUAAGUGUUGGAGGGUUUCCGCCCUUCAGUGCUGCAGCUAACGCAUUAAGCACUCCGCCUGGGGAGUACGACCGCAAGGUUG